UACGUAGGAUGCGAGCGUUAUCCGGAUUUAUUGGGUUUAAAGGGUGCGCAGGCGGCACGGCAAGCCGGCGGUCAAAUCGCGGGGCUCAACCCCGCCCAGCCGUCGGAACUGCCGGGCUAGAGUGGGCGAGAAGUGCGCGGAAUGCGUGGUGUAGCGGUGAAAUGCAUAGAUAUCGCGCAGAACUCCGAUUGCGAAGGCAGCGCACCGGCGCCCUACUGACGCUCAGGCACGAAAGCGUGGGUAUCGAACAGG
rnacentral:rRNA from 1 species